GGGAUAAUUUCUGGAAACGGAAACUAAAACCGGAUAGGUAAUAGAGAAGCAUUUCUGUAUUAUUAAAGAAGCCUCAAAGCUUUGAACAUGGAUGGACCUGCGGUGCAUUAGCUAGUUGGUAAGGUAACGGCCUACCAAGGCGACGAUGCAUAGCCGACCUGAGAGGGCGAACGGCCACAUUGGGACUGAGACACGGCCCAAACUCCUACGGGAGGCAGCAGUAGGGAAUUUUCGUCAAUGGGGGGAACCCUGAACGAGCAAUGCCGCGUGAGUGAAGACGGUCUUCGGAUUGUAAAGCUCUGUUGUGAGAGAAAAAGGAUAUAUAUAGGAAAUGAUAUGUAUUUGAUGGUAUCUCACCAGAAAGUCACGGCUAACUACGUGCCAGCAGCCGCGGUAAUACGUAGGUGGCGAGCGUUAUCCGGAAUGAUUGGGCGUAAAGGGUACGUAGGCGGCAUGAUAAGUCUGGAGUGAAAGGCUACAGCUCAACUGUAGUAUGCUCUGGAAACUGUCAAGCUAGAGUGCAGAAGAGGGCAAUGGAACUCCAUGUGUAGCGGUAAAAUGCGUAGAUAUAUGGAAGAACACCGGUGGCGAAGGCGGUUGCCUGGUCUGAAACUGACGCUGAAGUACGAAAGCGUGGGGAGCAAAUAGGAUUAGAUACCCUAGUAGUCCACGCCGU
rnacentral:rRNA from 1 species